rnacentral:rRNA from 1 species
AGAGUUUGAUCCUGGCUCAGGAUGAACGCUGGCGGUAUGCCUUAUACGUGCAAGUCGAACGGGAGUUUUUAACUCUAGUGGCGGACGGGUGAGUAACACGUAAGAAUUUGCCUUUAGGAGGGGGACAACAACUGGAAACGGUUGCUAAUACCCCAUAUGCUUUCGAGUAAAAUGGUUUUCCGCCUAAAGAGGAGCUUGCGGCUGAUUAGCUUGUUGGUAGGGUAAUGGCCUACCAAGGCGACGAUCAGUAUCUGGUUUGAGAGGACGAUCAGACACACUGGAACUGAGACACGGUCCAGACUCCUACGGGAGGCAGCAGUAGGGAAUUUUCCGCAAUGGGCGAAAGCCUGACGGAGCAAUACCGCGUGAGGGAUGAAUGCCUAUGGGUUGUAAACCUCUUUUUUCAGGGAGGAAUAAAUGACGUGUACCUGAAGAAUAAGCAUCGGCUAAUUCGGUGCCAGCAGCCGCGUUAGGACGGAGGAUGCAAGUGUUAUCGGGAAUCACUGGGCGUAAAGCGUCUGUAGGUGGCUCAAUAAGUCAACUGUUAAAUCUUGAAGCUCAACUUCGGAAUCGCAGUCGAAACUAUUUGGCUUGAGUAUAGUAGAGGUAAAGGGAAUUUCCAGUGGAGCGGUGAAAUGCGUAGAGAUUGGAAAGAACACCGAUGGCGAAGGCACUUUACUGGGCUAUUACUGACACUCAGAGACGAAAGCUAGGGUAGCAAAUGGGAUUAGAUACCCCAGUAGUCCUAGCCGUAAACAAUGGAUACUAGGUGUUGAACAGAUCGACCUGUGCAGUACCAAAGCUAACGCGUUAAGUAUCCCGCCUCGGAAGUAUGCACGCAAGAGUGAAACUCAAAUGAAUUGACGGGGGCCC